AUUAGAUUCUACUCCUAAAAAAAUCUAUCCAUCUUAUCUUGGACAACAACAUCAAUCAAAGGUUGAUUUUUCCUUUUUUUUUGCCUUGGUAGCUACAUUCUCAUCCUUAAUGUGGGUGCAAACUGUCUUGAUGGUUACUCAUCAGAAUUUGGCUCACUUUAUUGUAGGUUGUGAGUCAUAUUCUCAACUUUAGCUUCGACAUGCUUACUAGGCUCUAUUGUUGCUGCUAUCAAACUUGGUUCAUUUUGUCUCAGAUUGUGAACCAUAUUCUCAGUCUAUGUAUUAGGAAUUGGAAUUGUAUGC
rnacentral:lncRNA from 1 species